rnacentral:lncRNA from 1 species
CUGAAAUCUUAGCUGGUAUGAAACUGCGUAAUUUUAAAAAGUUUUCUUGUCAUUGCACUUGGAAUUGUUGUUGUGGGCUAUGUUGGCAUUUUGCGUUAGCUUGUCUUCCUUGUCUGUCUGCUGCUGUGGCUAUUCAUUAGUAUAAAUAUCGACUGGCCGUUAGUUUGUGUAUAAAAUUCCAAUUAGUCUAUGCACUGAAGUAAAUUGGUUGAUAGAUCAUAAUAUCUACUAAUUUUGUUUCAGUUAAAACCAUGCACCAUUCUCCUCUUAGUUGUUAAUUUCAUCCCUGAAUUUGUUCCUGACCAGGGAUCAUCUUGUAAUAUUUAUAUAUACAUCAAAGAUACGUGUGGACGAAUAGGAAUUUAUGGAAGAUAGAAGGGUUUGUUUGUUUCAUUGAAAGAAAGGAAUAUCUACAUUUGACUAGUCUAUCUUAUGGGUUGGAUUUGGAAAUUAUAGGCAUCUAGUAUUAGUCACAUACAUAGGACGUGCCUUUUAGCUUAACACAUUGCCAUUACUUGACACACACAGAGGUAUGAGGGGGCGAUAUCACUUUUAUUGAAUCAAUAUAAUUCAGGGAAUUGGGGAGUGCUUUGCCCAAUAUAAGCAGUCAUUUUGUGCAAUAUGGAAAUUGAGCAAGUAUUGUGUUGGGCCUAUUUGCAGAUUUAUGUCUAAAGUUUCGAUUGGGAGGUUAUUUAUCCAAAACAAAAUGUGAACUUAUUUGCGAGUUGAUUUCAUUUAUGUAUAACUGUAUGAAAUGGGUAACUAACAAACAUGACAGUGCAUUUGUGUCUCUUGUGUUCUCGAGUUUGCGACAUUAUUUUUAAGUAAAUUUUUAACUUUCCCUUCAUCUGUGCAUAUUCAUGAUGAAGUUUGGGAUCGUUUGUUAUUUGCAUAGAUGUCUGGCCCAAGUAGUGCUGGAAAUAUUGGAUUAGGACCAAUACCAAUAUGUGAGGAAGAUAGCAUGACCAAUGUACCGAAGAGCAAUGUCCCGCAAGAAGAUCCAGUUGAACUAUUACCAAAUGCGGAAGGAAGGACAAUAAACCUAAGUGACGAGGAGCGUGAUAUUGGAGAAAUAUAAUUUGGAAAGAGGAAAUUGACUUCAACUGUGUGGGAGCACUACAAAAGACAGAAAAUUGAUGAGAAAUGGAAUGCUAUAUGCAAUCAUUGCAAGAAACAGUUAGGGGUGAAACCAUUGGCAUGAUCAUUUGAAGAGAUGUGUACUUCGUUAUAAAAAUAAUACUCACCAAGCAACAUUAAAUUUAAAAAAGGAUGCCACGAGUGGCAAGGUCACAAUGGGUACGUACUCUUUCGAUCCAGAAAAGUGUAGAUAUAGUCUUUCGAAAAUGGUGAUUUUGCAUAAGUAUCCUUUGUCUAUGGUUGAUCACAUUGGAUUUCUAGAGUUCUUGCACGACCUACAACCAUUGUUUAAGGUUCCUUCUCGCAACACUUCCAAGAGCGACAUUUUGAAAAUCUAUGAAUAUGAGAGAGCCAAAAACAUGAUUGCACUUGAGAAGAUCGAGAGUAGAAUUUCAAUCAUUAUCGACAUGUGGACCUUUUCUAAUCAAAAGAGAGGAUUUAUAGUUAUCACUGCUCAUCUCAUAGAUGAUGCGUGAAAAUUAC